rnacentral:rRNA from 1 species
AUUAGGAUUUACUCCGAAAGCGAAGAAACUUACAACAAAGAGUCCCUCCCGACUGUUUACCAAAAACACAGCACUCUGCUAACUCGUAAGAGGAUGUAUAGGGUGUGACGCCUGCCCGGUGCUCGAAGGUUAAUUGAUGGGGUUAGCAUUAGCGAAGCUCUUGAUCGAAGCCCGAGUAAACGGCGGCCGUAACUAUAACGGUCCUAAGGUAGCGAAAUUCCUUGUCGGUUAAAUACCGACCUGCAUGAAUGGCGUAACGAGAUGGGAGCUGUCUCAAAGAGGGAUCCAGUGAAAUUGUAGUGGAGGUGAAAAUUCCUCCUACCCGCGGCAAGACGGAAAGACCCCGUGGACCUUUACUACAGCUUGACACUGCUAUUUGGAUAAGAAUGUGCAGGAUAGGUGGGAGGCUUUGAGUAUAUGACGCCAGUUGUAUAUGAGCCAUUGUUGAGAUACCACUCUUUCUUAUUUGGGUAGCUAACCAGCUUGAGUUAUCCUCAAGUGGGACAAUGUCUGGUGGGUAGUUUGACUGGGGCGGUCGCCUCCCAAAUAAUAACGGAGGCUUACAAAGGUUGGCUCAGAACGGUUGGAAAUCGUUCGUAGAGUAUAAAGGUAUAAGCCAGCUUAACUGCAAGACAUACAAGUCAAGCAGAGACGAAAGUCGGUCUUAGUGAUCCGGUGGUUCUGUGUGGAAGGGCCAUCGCUCAAAGGAUAAAAGGUACCCCGGGGAUAACAGGCUGAUCUCCCCCAAGAGCUCACAUCGACGGGGAGGUUUGGCACCUCGAUGUCGGCUCAUCGCAUCCUGGGGCUGGAGCAGGUCCCAAGGGUAUGGCUGUUCGCCAUUUAAAGCGGUACGCGAGCUGGGUUCAGAACGUCGUGAGACAGUUCGGUCCCUAUCUGCCGUGGGCGUAAGAAGAUUGAAGAGAUUUGACCCUAGUACGAGAGGACCGGGUUGAACAAACCACUGGUGUAGCUGUUGUUCUGCCAAGAGCAUCGCAGCGUAGCUAAGUUUGGAAAGGAUAAACGCUGAAAGCAUCUAAGCGUGAAGCCAACUCUAAGAUGAAUCUUCUCUAAGCUCUCUAGAAGACUACUAGUUUGAUAGGCUGGGUGUGUAAUGGAUGAAAGUCCUUUAGCUGACCAGUACUAAUAGAGCGUUUGGCUUAUCUUUAAUAAAGCAU